rnacentral:misc_RNA from 1 species
CCGAACAUACAGGAAAUGGACCUGUCUAAAAAACUCAUACUGCUGCCGUUUGAUACGGCGGUCUUGUAAACCCCGAGAAAGAAAAUCGUUAUGCGAAGUUGGGCGAGGGGCGCCUCGCCGAGGGUUUAAUUUAAACCCUCGAAUCAAAGCGCACCCCACUUCAACCCCACUAAACUCUGAAUCUGAACUCAAAGGGGGGCAGCGCUCUUUACCGGGCGCGGCUCUCCCAACCUUUAACGUU